rnacentral:rRNA from 1 species
CCUCAAAUCAGGUAGGACUACCCGCUGAACUUAAGCAUAUCAAUAAGCGGAGGAAAAGAAACUAACAAGGAUUCCCCUAGUAACUGCGAGUGAAGCGGGAAAAGCUCAAAUUUAAAAUCUGGCAGUCUUUGGCUGUCCGAGUUGUAGUCUGGAGA